AUGGAAAAAGCAAUAGAGUUCCAGAAAAACAUCUAUUUCUGCUUUAUGGACUAUGUCAAAGCCUUUGACUCUGUGGAUCACAAUAAACUGUGGAAAAUUCUGAAAGAGAUGGGAAUACCAGACCACCUGACUUGCCUCUUGAGAAACCUAUAUGCAGGUCAGGAAGCAACAGUUAGAACUGGACAUGGAAGAACAGACUGGUUCCAAAUAGGAAAAGGAGUCCAUCAAGGCUGUAUAUUGUCACCCUGCUUAUUUAACUUGUAUGAAGAGUACAUCAUGAGAAACACUGGGCUGGAAGAAGCACAAGCUGGAAUCAAGAUUGCCGGGAGAAAUAUCAAUAACCUCAGAUAUGCAGAUGACACCACCCUUAUGGCAGAAAGUGAAGAGGAACUAAAAAGCUUCUUGAUGAAAGUGAAAGAGGAGAAUGAAAAAGUUGGCUUAAAGCUCAACAUUCAGAAAACUAAGAUCAUGGCAUCUGGUCCCAUCACUUCACGGGAAAUAGACGGGGAAACAGUGGAAACAGUGUCAGACUUUAUAUUUUUGGGCUCCAAAAUCACUGCAGAUGGUGACUGCAGCCAUGAAAUUAAAAGAUGCUUACUCCUUGGAAGGAAAGUUAUAACCAACCUAGAUAGCAUAUUCAAAAACAGAGACAUUACUUUGCCAACAAAGGCCCGUCUAGUCAAGGCUAUGGUUUUUCCAGUAGUCAUGCAUGAAUGUGAGAGUUGGACUGUGAAGAAAGCUGAGCGCCAAAGAAUUGAUGCUUUUGAACUGUGGUGUUGGAGAAGACUCUUGAGAGUCCCUUGGACUGCAAGGAGAUCCAACCAGUCCAUUCGAAAGAUCAGUCUUGUCUAUUCUUUGGAAGGACUGAGGCUGAAGCUGAAACUCCAAUACUUUGGCCACCUCAUGCAAAGAGUUGACUCAUUGGAAAAGACUCUCAUGCUGGGAGGGAUUGGGGGCAGGAGGAGAAGGGGACUAGAGAGGAUGAGAUGGCUGGAUGGCAUCACUGACUCGAUGGAUGUGAGUCUUAGUGAACUCCGAGAAUUGGUGAUGGACAUGGAGGCCGGCGUGCUGUGA
rnacentral:lncRNA from 1 species